rnacentral:lncRNA from 1 species
CUCAUGUCCAAUGACAGUUCUUAAUCACUACACAGAUCUCACGUGUUUUGGAUUCCAGAUGACCAAAGGGUUGAGUAUGAUAGCAUAGGAUUGUAAAUAUACAAGUGACAGUAACAACCAAAGCUGAUAGCAUCUAUAGGCAUCGAGAAAAGUAAUUUGAGGAACUGCAGAGGCAUAUUAUUUUAAGCAACCUUCUAUAUACACCUCACAUCCAAAUAAAAAGUACUCAAGAACAUUUUUUUUGAUAAUUAAGUACUCAAGAACAUUUAAGCAAGCAAAUGAAGAUCAUAUGGUGUAAAAUACGGAUUAUUUGAAUUCUAUAUUACAGUAAGCAAUGACAAUUGUGUGAUCAAAUAGCUGACAAAGCUAAAAUACAUUUGACUAAAAUUCAAAUAAGACAAUGUCAACGAUGGGCAUUUGGUCUAGUGGUAUGAUUCUCGCUUUGGGUGCGAGAGGUCCCGAGUUCGAUUCUCGGAAUGCCCCUUAAUUUAUAAAAGUUUUUAUUUACUCUAAGAUGAUUUAACUUUUCAAAGGCUCAAACAAUGGAGAAUGUUUAUCUCACCUAGAAAAUUUUUGCACAAAAUGGUACAAGCUCCAGACAACCAAUAUCAACUUCAAACUAUUAUUACCACUGAGGGACCAACAAGAACUGGGCAUUUGGUCUAGUGGUAUGAUUCUCGCUUUGGGUGCGAGAGGUCCCGAGUUCGAUUCUCGGAAUGCCCCUUAAUUUAUAAAAAAAAUUAUUUACUCUAAGAUGAUUUUAACUUUUCAAAGGCUCAAACAAUGGAGAAUGUUUAUCUCACCUAGAAAAUUAUUGCACAGAAUGGUACAAGCUCCAGACAACCAAUAUCAACUUCAAACUAUUAUUACCACUGAGGGACCAACAAGAACUGGGCAUUUGGUCUAGUGGUAUGAUUCUCGCUUUGGGUGCGAGAGGUCCCGAGUUCGAUUCUCGGAAUGCCCCCAUCUAAUACAACUUUUUAAUUCAUUUUACUUGCAACUCUGCUCCUUCACUCUAUUUUCUAAGUGAUAGUACAUGCAAAUUAAGCAGGGUCAUUUAUGUAACUAAGAUUCAAAAAAAUAGAAUUCACACUUGGUCACAUGCUGACAAUUUAAUGCCACAGGGGAAUCAAUAUUCUGUAAGUUUAUUAAAAAAAGACCAUUUGUACAGUCCAGACUUAACUUUGUUUUGUCAAUGCCUGUACCAAAUCUUAACUAAUGCUUGACUUCAAGAGCUCUUCGUUGUUUCCAUUUUUGUAACCUGAUCUCCAGUCAACUACAAAACUCAAUCGACUGUCUUCAUAAAACAAAAAUCGCAGGUAAAGAUUCUAUUUAUUCAUGUUAAUGGACAACCAAAUGGCAUGAGCACUUGAAGCUGAAUAAGGUAAAUCUAGAUCUAUAAGCUAAAAUUUAAUACAUCAUGAAUACUUGCAAUAGUGCAGAAUGGGGGGCUUGCCUGUUCAGUUUACAGAUCUGAAACUCCAACGUUCAAAGUCUAACUCCCAAAAGAUCCCUAAAUAAAUGUUGGAAAGAUCAGUUCGAGUAUCUCAAAUAUCACAAGCCAUCAUUUCAGAUAUGCUUUUUUGCCAUCCAUUUUCAAUUUGAUAAAGCAGGAAAAACUUAAAUGUGAAGUUGGUACAUGGAUUUGUCGUAACAUCGAAGAAUCAUUAUGUUUGAUCUAUAACAAGAUCAUUUACAAGUCAAGGAAGUUAACAAUAAAAACUGAGCAUCAUUAAUCAACGACACAGAUCUUCCACAAAAUCAAGGAAGUUCUCUGAAUUCAAGUCAAAAUACGGAAUGAAACGGAUAUCCAUAGUUCAUGAGCCAUUUUAAUUACACUUAAGUGAAACAAAGAAGCAUGAACUUCAUUGUACCAUGUUGCUUUGCACCCAAAAUCGCAUAACAUGAGCUGCACCAUUCUAUGAAACAAGUGAUACUGAUAUAGCUUAAUAAAGAAGGUAUUCAAAAGAGAACUGGAAGUAAGAGAACCCAGAAAAAAACCCAUGGUUAACUAUCAAUGAGAUACUCCUUAGUAAAUAUUUUAUUUGCUUCAGCUGUAACUAGAACGAUGAAGCUCAAGCAUGAAAUGUUAAUUCAGCUAACGCUGGAGACCUGGCCUCAUGUCCAAUGACAGUUCUUAAUCACUACACAGAUCUCACGGGUUUUGGAUUCCAGAUGACCAAAGGGUUGAGUAUGAUUACAUAGGAUUGUAAAUAUACAAGUGAUAGAAGCAACCAAAGCUGAUAGCAUCUUUAGGCAUCGAGAGAAGUAAUCAGAGGAACUGCAGAGGCAUAUUAUUUUAAGCAACCUUCUAUAUACACCUCAGAUCCUAAUAAGCAAAGUACUCAAGAACAUCUAAGCAAGCAAAUGAAGAUCAUAUGGUGUAAAAUAAGGAUUAUUUGAAUUCUAUAUUACAGUAAGCAAUGACAAUUGUGAUCAAAUAGCUGACACAGCUAAAAUACAUUUGACUAAAAUUCAAAUAAGACAAUGUCAACAAUGGGCAUUUGGUCUAGUGGUAUGAUUCUCGCUUUGGGUGCGAGAGGUCCCGAGUUCGAUUCUCGGAAUGCCCCUUGAUUUUGCUAAAGUUUUAAUUUACUCUAAGUUAAUUUAACUCACCAACUCCUUCAUCACUAGCUGAUUCUACAGUUGAGUAUGUUAAGAUAUUAAAACCAGCUAUGGGAAGCCUCCCCCUUUCUACUACUAAAACACCUUUAAUUGCAAUGUUAUGUCUCUCUGUAUACAUUAUUUUAACAUUGGAGGAGCCCCUAGGCACAGGAGAAUUUCAUCCUCCUAGAAAAUCAUUUCAUAAGAUGGUAUAAGCUCCAGACAGCUGGAGAUGAAACUUCCAGCUAUCAUUUAGACUGGGGGACCAACAAAAUAGGGCAUUUGGUCUAGUGGUAUGAUUCUCGCUUCGGGUGCGAGAGGUCCCGAGUUCGAUUCCCGGAAUGCCCCUUUAUUUUGCUUAAGUUUUAUUUACUCUUAAGUUGAUUUAACUCUCCAAAUGCUCCUUCAUCUGUAACUGACUCUACAUUCGCCGUAGGAGAAUACUUCCUCCUCUACAGUUGAGUUUGUUCAGAUACAACCAGAUAUGACCAACUUUAAUAAUGUCUACAAUUACAGCACCUUUAAUAGCAUAGUAUGCCUCUCUCGAUAUAUAUUAUUUUAACAAAGGGAGGAAGGGAGGGAGAGGGAGGAAAUGGUCUACUAUGAACACUUAUAAUUUGGAUGAAAGAAAAUGACCUUUUCAGAUCUCUUAUGUAAGAAUGAAGAUCUUUAUAGUACUAAAAACAAAUUCAUAAAAGGCCAUAACACCGAUUGACCCGAGGAAGGAUCCCUCACACUGGAGAAUGCUCAUCCCUCCAAGAAAAUCAUUUCGAAAAAUGGCACAAGCUUACAAGUGACAUGAAACUUCCAGCUAUUAUUUAAAAUUGAGGGACCAACAAACAGCAGGGCAUUUGGUCUAGUGGUAUGAUUCUCGCUUUGGGUGCGAGAGGUCCCGAGUUCGAUUCUCGGAAUGCCCCCAGCUAAAGUAACUCUUUUACUUCAUUUUACUUGUAUAUCUGCUCCUUCACUCUAUUUUCUAAUUGAUAUAUUAGAAUUAAGCAGGACACUGAUGGAUAACCUAGAGUGAUUGGCCAGAGAUCUUACAAGAAAAUACACUUUAAAGUCUGCAGUCUCAAAAUUAUCAUACCAACGCUAUAAUUUACCCUCCACCUUGUUAACAAUGGAAGUAGAAAAUUUCAACUAGCACACAAGUUCUCAUCUUGGAUGACUUAGUGUUAAUCUUAUUGCAACAUUGUCUAUAAGGAACAAAAAUAACUGGGUAUUUAAUCUAGUUGUAUGAUUCAUGGGUUGAAAGAUUCUUAGUAUUUUGUUAAAAAAAAAAAACAUUGAGAUUGAUGUUCUGAAGAUUGCAGCAAGUUCAUCAGCCAUUUAUGUAACUAAGAUUCAAAAAAUAGAAUUCACACUGGGUCACAUGCUGACAGUUUAAUGCGACAGGGGAAUCAAUAAUUUUUUUUUAGUUUACUCAUUAUCAAGAUGUAGGACCAUUUGUACAGUCAAGACCUAACUUUGCUUUGUCAAUGCCUGUACCAAACCUUACCUAAUGCUUGACUUCAAGAGCUCUUUAUUGUUCCCAUUUUGGCAAGCUGAUCUCAAGUCUUCAUACAAAAAUAUUUGCAGGUAAAGAUUCUUUUAAUUCAUGUUAAUGGAUAACCAAAUGGCAUGAGUCACUUGAAGCUGCACAAGGUAAAUCUAGAUCUAUAACAUACAGAUUAAUACAUCAUGAAUACUUGCAAUAGUGCAGAGUUGGUCUUGCCUGUUCAGUUUACAACAAAGCAGAUCUGAAACUCCAAGGUUCUACA